UGUAAUGAUGUCACACACUCAUCUGGAG
rnacentral:piRNA from 1 species